rnacentral:rRNA from 1 species
UACGUAGGGUGCGAGCGUUGUCCGGAAUUAUUGGGCGUAAAGAGCUCGUAGGCGGUCUGUCGCGUCGCUGUGAAAUCCCGAGGCUCAACCUCGGGUCUGCAGUCGAUACGGGCAAACUGGAGUGUUGCAGGGGAGACUGGAAUUCCUGGUGUAGCGGUGAAAUGCGCAGAUAUCAGGAGGAACACCGGUGGCGAAGGCGGGUCUCUGGGCAACAACUGACGCUGAGGAGCGAAAGCGUGGGGAGCGAACAGG